rfam:Mus musculus chromosome 5, GRC primary reference assembly.
AUUCGUCUGUGACUUAUAAACAGGAUGCCUGGUUUUUCACACCAAUUUCUGAGAUGCACCUCCCUCAAAUCUUACUAGGAUGUUGGUAUGUUACCUAUUUCAUG